ACUGUGAGGAAGGAACUGACAUCUCACAUGGCUCCCUUGUUUGAUUUAUUAGGCACAUGCAGUCCAUAAAUGUCCAAAUGCUUGUCCAAGGCCAUCAGGUCGGUCGAAUGCCAACAGUCAGAAUUGUGUUCCCUUAGUAGGACAUACUAGCAUCAGGCUGCUGUGGGCUUUAAGCUGGAGGGGCUAAAGCCAUUGCCUGUGGCUGAGGUGCCCUAAUCGAGCACCUAAGAGACUGCGGAUGGAGAUUUCAUUUUCUCCACAUAAUGACAAUAGUUUGAAAAGCUCAGCAUUCUGUGCUAAGGCAAGAAGUAACAAGAAUUUCAGAUACAUUGAAAUGGACUAUGAAGUCGAAAGGAUGAAAGACAGGAGCCUAGCUUGGCUGCCCUCUGAGAGGCCCCACCAGCAGCUGACUGAGACAGACACAGAUACUUGAACCCAACCAUUGGACUGAAAUCAGGAAACCCUAUAGUCGAAGGUUCCUAUAGGGGAAGGAUUGAAGAAGCUGAAGGGAAGAGCGACCCCAUAGGAAGACCGCACUCUCAACUAGCGCAGACCGAAGAGAACUCCCAGAGACUGAGCCACCAACUAGGCAACAUACACUAGCUGGUCUGAGGCCCCAGCACACAGAUAGCAGAGGAUUGCCUGGUCUGGCCUCAGUGGGAGAAGAUGCACCUAAUCUUCAAGAGACCUGAGGCCCUAGGGAAGGAGGAGGCCUGGUGGGGUGGGAAGAGCACCCCGUCAGAGGCAAGGGCGAGAAGGAAUGGGAUGAGAA